rnacentral:rRNA from 1 species
GACGAACGCUGGCGGCGUGCUUAAUACAUGCAAGUCGAGCGAGGCCCAUCCAGUGGCAACACUGGGGAAGGCCGAGCGGCGAACGGGUGAGUAACACGUGAGCAACCUGCCCCGAAGUCUGGAAUAACAUCGGGAAACCGGUGCUAAUACCGGAUUGCCCCACCUGACCGCAUGAUCGGGUGAGGAAAGAUCUAUCGCUUCGGGAGGGGCUCGCGGCCUAUCAGCUAGNGGCGGGGUAACGGCCCACCAAGGCGUCGACGGGUAGCUGGUCUGAGAGGACGACCAGCCACACUGGGACUGAGACACGGCCCAGACUCCUACGGGAGGCAGCAGUAGGGAAUCUUGCGCAAUGGGCGAAAGCCUGACGCAGCAACGCCGCGU